rnacentral:rRNA from 1 species
CCAAUAGCGUAUAUUAAAGUUGUUGCAGUUAAAAAGCUCGUAGUUGAAUUUCGGGAUUGACCCAUCGGUCGUGCCUUAAGGGGUAUGAACUGGUGUAGUCAAUUUCUCACCUUCUGGAGAACCGCGAUGUCCUUAAUUGGGUGCCGCGAGGAACCAGGACCUUUACUUUGAAAAAAUUAGAGUGUUUAAAGCAGGCAUUUUUGCUUGAAUCCAUUAGCAUGGAAUAAUAAAAUAGGACGGCAUGAUUCUAUUUUGUUGGUUUCUAGGAUAACCGUAAUGAUUAAUAGGGAUAGUUGGGGGCAUUAGUAUUCAAUUGUCAGAGGUGAAAUUCUUGGAUUUAUUGAAGACUAACUACUGCGAAAGCAUUUGCCAAGGAUGUUUUCAUUAAUCAAGAACGAAAGUUAGGGGAGCGAAGGCGAUCAGAUACCGUCGUAGUCUUAACCAUAAACUAUGCCGACUAGGAAUCAGACGAUGUUAAUUUUUUAAUGACUCGUUUGGCACCUUACG